GAUGAACGCUGGCGGCGUGCCUAAUACAUGCAAGUCGAGCGAACAGACGAGGAGCUUGCUCCUUUGACGUUAGCGGCGGACGGGUGAGUAACACGUAGGUAACCUACCUAUAAGACUGGGAUAACUUCGGGAAACCGGAGCUAAUACCGGAUAAUAUUUCGAACCGCAUGGUUCGAUAGUGAAAGAUGGCUUUGCUAUCACUUAUAGAUGGACUUGCGCCGUAUUAGCUAGUUGGUAAGGUAACGGCUUACCAAGGCAACGAUACGUAGCCGACCUGAGAGGGUGAUCGGCCACACUGGAACUGAGACACGGUCCAGACUCCUACGGGAGGCAGCAGUAGGGAAUCUUCCGUAAUGGGCGAAAGCCUGACGGAGCAACGCCGCGUGAGUGAUGAAGGUCUUCGGAUCGUAAAACUCUGUUAUUAGGGAAGAACAAACGUGUAAGUAACUGUGCACGUCUUGACGGUACCUAAUCAGAAAGCCACGGCUAACUACGUG
rnacentral:rRNA from 1 species